AUGCUUGCAUACAAGGUGAAGGGUGAAGAAAAGAGGGCCACGUUCAAGCUUAAGUAUGAGAGAGUACCACACUUUUGUUUUCACUGUGGUUUUAUGGGGCAUGACAAAGAUGCCUGUGAGAAGAUGUUAGUGGGGUUGCCGUCAAAGGCCUAUGACUCCACACUUCGCUGCUCCCCUUUCAAGAAGUUUGAGCACCGUUCUGCUUUUACACCUUCUCCGGGUCAGCCAAGAGCGCGGCGGGGCAUGGAUUUUUCACUGGGGAGUGCCGGAUCAGGGACCCAACAUGCAGCUCGCUCAACUGCAAGCUCUGGCUCUGGGAGAUCACCUGUAAUUCCAGACAGAGUUGAUGCUCACGACGGUUUUGAGGAACAGGAAAAACCAGGUCCGGCGGAGGCUGACGCCCUUCUUGCUAGCCAAGUUGAAAACAUGCGUCUCCGGUUGGCGAAAGAGAAAGAUGAGUGUAGCAAGGUCCAGUUGGUGAAAGCCCAGUUUGAAGCGAGGGCAAUGGAAAAAAGUGCAGAACCAUUGUCUAAGUCGAGGAGGAAAAAGAGUGCACCACUGCCUAAAAAGGCUCUGGCAGGAAGAAAGCAGGGUCCGCUGGUGAUUAGGGAUGCACCUUUAAAUUCAGAAGAGAAGAUUCCAGCUAUACGCAACCUAGACAAGGUGCAUGUGUCAUUUGGAAGUGCAUCAGAAUCCAUGGACUACAACGACUCAAUUCUGGGCAAGCGGCAUGUGCUGGGCCUAAUGGCUAAUGUUACUGUAGCAGCAGAGGACAAGGCUCUGGUGUUGUUUGGUGAUGUACCAGAGGGAGGCUUACAGAAGAAAGGCAAGUUGGAUCAAAGUCAGGUGGAUGAGGAGGUGAAUAGUAUGAUGCGUGAGGUGGAACUGGAGGCAACCGGCCCAGGGGCCGCUGGUAUAUUGACGGGGUCGCGCGCGCCGCCCCGUCAGGAACAAUGA
rnacentral:rRNA from 1 species